rnacentral:tRNA from 1 species
AGAGAGCUAGUUUAACCAAAACAGUUGAUUUCGACUCAACAAAUCAUAGCAACCACCUAUGGCUUUCUC